CGCUUCCUGGACUUCAUAAUUGGAACCCUGUGGAAUCCCAUGGAGAAUAUGGUUCGACAAGAACAAACUGAACCCAUUGAGGUUCGAUUGGUGGUCCAAGUGUAUUAUGGGAAAUGCUGAGGUUCAGCCCAACGGUUCCAAGAACUUCGUGACCUAAUCCUAUCCGCAACAAAGGCCUUUGGAACAAGUGUCGUCCUUGGAAAACAAGUGAAGAACCCCUCAGCUUUUGAAAUAUUCUUUAACAAGAAGCCUGUCUUCUCGAAAAUGGAACUUUCCAGCUAUCCUCAUUUCGAGGCCAUUGUGGAUCUAGCGCGCCAAGUAAUGGAACAUGGAGACUCUCGGAUACAAAAGAUCUAUGAAGUGGAUUCCUGUUUGAAGUUCCGGUACAAAAGCUGCUGUUAUGUCAGUUGAAGCUUUCAGCCAUUCAACCAUACUAGCACGAGGUUUGAGGCUCGAGGAUGGCAUGGUUGUCAUUCACGUUUUGUUAACUUUGAUUUGAGUUUCCUUCGCCUCUUUUUAGAAAUGACGUAGUCGCCCUUAACGGGAACUCCCAAAGGUGACAACUGAUGUGACAUGUUGAGAGGUGAAAGUGUGAAAAGGCAAUUGAAUUUAAGAAAUAUACGGGUACUUUUGGUCCCAAGUUGA